rnacentral:misc_RNA from 1 species
GAUGAAGAACGCAGCGAAAUGCGAUACUUGGUGUGAAUUGCAGAAUCCCGUGAACCAUCGAGUCUUUGAACGCAAGUUGCGCCCGAAGCCAUUAGGCCGAGGGCACGCCUGCCUGGGCGUCACACGUCGUUGCCCCCCCAUCUACUCCUUCGGGAUUGCGGGGGGCGGAUGGUGGCCUCCCGUGCGCCUCGUCGCGCGGUUGGCAUAAAUGCCAAGUCCUCGGCGACGCACGCCACGACAAUCGGUGGUUGCGAAACCUCGGUUGCCCGUCGUGUGCGGUCGUCGCGCAUCGAGGGCUCGAAAAAAUUGCCGAGCUCUGUUUCGGCUUUCAACGCGACCCCAGGUCAGGCGGGGUUACCCGCUGAAUUUAAGCAUAUCAAUAAGCGGAGGA